UCUGAUUAGCUUGUUGGCGGGGUAACGGCCCACCAAGGCUACGAUCAGUAGGGGUUCUGAGAGGAAGGUCCCCCACAUUGGAACUGAGACACGGUCCAAACUCCUACGGGAGGCAGCAGUGAGGAAUAUUGGUCAAUGGACGAGAGUCUGAACCAGCCAAGUAGCGUGCAGGAUGACGGCCCUAUGGGUUGUAAACUGCUUUUAUAAGGGAAUAAAGUGAGUCUCGUGAGACUUUUUGCAUGUACCUUAUGAAUAAGGACCGGCUAAUUCCGUGCCAGCAGCCGCGGUAAUACGGAAGGUCCGGGCGUUAUCCGGAUUUAUUGGGUUUAAAGGGAGCGUAGGCCGGAGAUUAAGCGUGUUGUGAAAUGUAGAUGCUCAACAUCUGCACUGCAGCGCGAACUGGUUUCCUUGAGUACGCACAAAGUGGGCGGAAUUCGUGGUGUAGCGGUGAAAUGCUUAGAUAUCACGAAGAACUCCGAUUGCGAAGGCAGCUCACUGGAGCGCAACUGACGCUGAAGCUCGAAAGUGCGGGUAUCGAACAGGAUUAGAUACCCUGGUAGUCCGCACGGUAAACGAUGGAUGCCCGCUGUUGGUCUGAAUAGGUCAGCGGCCAAGCGAAAGCAUUAAGCAUCCCACCUGGGGAGUACGCCGGCAACGGUGCAACUCAAAUGAAUUGACGG
rnacentral:rRNA from 1 species